AGAGUUUGAUCCUGGCUCAGGACGAACGCUGGCGGCGCGCCUAACACAUGCAAGUCGAACGAGCGAGAGAGAGCUUGCUUUCUCGAGCGAGUGGCGAACGGGUGAGUAACGCGUGAGGAACCUGCCUCAAAGAGGGGGACAACAGUUGGAAACGACUGCUAAUACCGCAUAAGCCCACGGGUCGGCAUCGACCAGAGGGAAAAGGAGCAAUCCGCUUUGAGAUGGCCUCGCGUCCGAUUAGCUAGUUGGUGAGGUAACGGCCCACCAAGGCAACGAUCGGUAGCCGGACUGAGAGGUUGAACGGCCACAUUGGGACUGAGACACGGCCCAGACUCCUACGGGAGGCAGCAGUGGGGAAUAUUGCACAAUGGGGGAAACCCUGAUGCAGCGACGCCGCGUGGAGGAAGAAGGUCUUCGGAUUGUAAACUCCUGUUGUUGAGGAAGAUAAUGACGGUACUCAACAAGGAAGUGACGGCUAACUACGUGCCAGCAGCCGCGGUAAAACGUAGGUCACAAGCGUUGUCCGGAAUUACUGGGUGUAAAGGGAGCGCAGGCGGGAAGACAAGUUGGAAGUGAAAUCUAUGGGCUCAACCCAUAAACUGCUUUCAAAACUGUUUUUCUUGAGUAGUGCAGAGGUAGGCGGAAUUCCCGGUGUAGCGGUGGAAUGCGUAGAUAUCGGGAGGAACACCAGUGGCGAAGGCGGCCUACUGGGCACCAACUGACGCUGAGGCUCGAAAGUGUGGGUAGCAAACAGGAUUAGAUACCCUGGUAGUCCACACCGUAAACGAUGAUUACUAGGUGUUGGAGGAUUGACCCCUUCAGUGCCGCAGUUAACACAAUAAGUAAUCCACCUGGGGAGUACGACCGCAAGGUUGAAACUCAAAGGAAUUGACGGGGGCCCGCACAAGCAGUGGAGUAUGUGGUUUAAUUCGAAGCAACGCGAAGAACCUUACCAGGUCUUGACAUCCGAUGCAUAGCACAGAGAUGUGUGAAAUCCUUCGGGACAUCGAGACAGGUGGUGCAUGGUUGUCGUCAGCUCGUGUCGUGAGAUGUUGGGUUAAGUCCCGCAACGAGCGCAACC
rnacentral:rRNA from 1 species